ensembl:lncRNA
GGUUGUUGCGCCACCAAAACCAGAGGGUUGAACCGAGUCCAGAGUCCAUGCAGCAAACCAAAGUCCCAAGUCGAAAUAAAAGUCCUAGGGUGGAAAAGGCAAAGGGCUCAGUCCUGGAGCACAGAGCUCGAGAUCUGGAGAAGCAGAGAGACCAGACUGACCACAACUGGCAGAUUGAGAGCGAGUGCCAAGAAGUGAAACCAAGAAGUCUGGGGCCAAGAAGUCAUCCCAGAGUACCAACAGGGACUUCCCUGGUGGCCCAGUGGUUAAGAAUUCACCUUCCAAUAUAGGGGACCUGGGUUCAAUCCCUGGUCCGGGAAGAUCACACGUGCCACUAAGCCCACAUAUCACAACUACUGAGCCUGUGAGCUUCAGCUAGAGAAAGGUGCCCAUGCCACAACGAAGAGACCACAGUGAAAGAGCCUGUAUGCCACCAUGAAGAUGCCGUGUGCUGCAACGAAGAUCCAACACAGCAGGUUUUCUCUGGUAUUGACAUUAGGGUCACAGAAGAUGCACAAAAUGCAUGCAGAAUCAGUACUGCAAAACUGCAGGGGAUGGACUGAAGCCUUUCUCGUCAUCCCGCACUCCAUCACGAAGUCCCGUCAUAAGAGAUGGUUCACGUGUGCCUUUUGGCUCCUAUUCGCUGCCUCCUGGAUGUCGUUUAUGUUUAUUUCUCAGUGACUUUGUGUGUGACUUGGGCUUUGAUAAUGA